rnacentral:rRNA from 1 species
GCAGUCGCCACGGUAAUACGUAGGUGACGAGCGUUGUCCGGAAUUAUUGGGCGCAAAGGGAGCGCAGGCGGUUGGAAUAGUCUGAUGUGAAAGCCCACGGCUUAACCGUGGAAGGUCAUUGGAAACUGUCCAACUUGAAUGCAGAAGAGGAAAGUGGAACUCCAUGUGUAGCGGUGAAAUGCGUAGAUAUAUGGAGGAACACCAGUGGCGAAGGCGACUUUCUGGUCUGUAAUUGACGCUGAGGCUCGAAAGCGUGGGUAGCGAACAGGAUUAGAUACCCCAGUAGUCCCUGUCUCUUAUAC